CGAACACUGAGAUUAACCUUUCCACCCAAGGUUUUCCUUCUGUUGCCUGCCGCUGUGGCCCAAAGAGCAUCUCUUGUGCAGAACUUAUGGAGCUGGCCAGCACUGGAAUCCUGCAAACCAGGUAAAAUCUACAAUUCUGGAAUCACAGGUUGAUUAAAUGUGAUGAUACACGAAGAAAGCGCGACCAACCCAUAGAUUUGAAGUGGCAGAAAGUGCUCUACAACACACUGGGUAAGCCUCAAUAAGAAGUUCUUCAUCUGACUUCCAAAAAGUCUGCGGGAAAGGCUCGCUUGGAGGAAUGCAGUGGAGAUGUCCGGCAUCUGGACAUUCCUUCCGCGUGAUGGCACACAUCUGGCUCUUUGGAAUGAGCAGAACAUUUCCCUUCCAGUUUCCCUCCAGAUGUCUGAGGGUACGGAGAUACAGCCCAAGAGUGCAUGGAGUUGAGUUCAUCACACUGCUCAGCUUAUGGU